rnacentral:rRNA from 1 species
UACGGAGGGUGCAAGCGUUAUCCGGAUUCACUGGGUUUAAAGGGUGCGUAGGCGGGCAGUUAAGUCCGUGGUGAAAUCUCUGAGCUUAACUCAGAAACUGCCAUGGAUACUAUCUGUCUUGAAUAUUGUGGAGGUAAGCGGAAUAUGUCAUGUAGCGGUGAAAUGCUUAGAUAUGACAUAGAACACCAAUUGCGAAGGCAGCUUACUACCCGAAUAUUGACACUGAGGCACGAAAGCGUGGGGAUCAAACAGG